AGCGAGUUUCAUGGCGGCCCGUACCCUAAACCGACUCAGGUAGUCAGGUAGAGAAUACCGAGGCGUUCGGGUGAACUAUGGUUAAGGAACUCGGCAAGAUGCCCCCGUAACUUCGGGAGAAGGGGGGGCGACCCGGCGG
rnacentral:rRNA from 1 species